UAUCAAUAAGCGGAGGAAAAGAAACUAACAAGGAUUCCCCUAGUAACGGCGAGUGAACCGGGAAAAGCUCAAAUUUGAAAUCUGGCGUCCUCAGGGCGUCCGAGUUGUAAUCUAUAGAGGCGUUUUCCGUGCCGGACCGUGUCCAAGUCCCUUGGAACAGGGUAUCAAAGAGGGUGACAAUCCCGUACUUGACACGACUACCGGUGCUCUGUGAUACGUCUUCUACGAGUCGAGUUGUUUGGGAAUGCAGCUCAAAAUGGGUGGUGAGUUCCAUCUAAAGCUAAAUAUUGGCGAGAGACCGA
rnacentral:rRNA from 1 species